CAGCCCUGGGCAGGCAAGGGCAAGCUUGGAGGCUCUGGGGCCACAGGCUCCCAGGAGGGCGUAGGGCAAGAACUAGAGAGUUCCUCCCCUCGGGGCUUCCCUGAUAGCUCAGUUGGUAAAGAAUCUGCCUGCAAUGCAGAAGACCCUGGUUCGAUCCCAGGAUCGGGAAGAUCCACUGGAGAAGGGAUAGGCUACCCAUGCCAGUAUUCUGGCCAGGAGAAUUCCAUGGACUACCAUGGGGUCACAAAGAAUCGGACACAACUGAGCGACUUCACUUUCACUUUGGCCUCAGCCCAAAGCGGGGUCUGGUCUCCCAAUACCAGCCCUGAGCCCCAGCCCUGGAAUUCUCUUCCCGUCUGGCCUUCCCAGGCUGGGGGCCACUUUCUCCCUUCCCCUCCGGCCAGAGGGCGCCCAUACCUGCGCAGACCAGGUCGUCUCUACACCUUUCUGUGCUGUGGGCUGAUCGCGACAGCCUCCAGGGAAUCGCAGCGCCGGCCUAGACGGAAGGAGACAGCAGAGGAAGAUGCCGCCAACAGGCUGACCGCCCCGUCGAGGCCGGUUCGCCGGCCUCACCCUUCCGGCGGGCGGGCGCGGCCCUGGCUCCGCCUCGGCGGCGGAAGGGAGGGCAGCCCGGAGGCCUGGGAAGCGCUGACCCGGCCGCCCGCCUUCCCAGCAGACUCCGCCUUCCUCUCCCGCGAGGGACCGGGCGCCGCCGGCGGCGGAGGCUCUGAGGCGCCAGGCGAGCCGUGACUCAGAGCCGGUCCUGGGCCCGACCUGGAGCGCCUGGUGCACCGAGGGGAGCCCCGCGGCGAGCCUGGGCGCCCCCCAACCGCCCCCCCUCCCCAGGACAAGAGCCUUCUCUCCAAGUCUUCGGGCUGCGCACUCCUAGGUUCUCUGCAUGGCCGCAGGCGAGCGGACGCAGGAACGCGCAGUGUACUUAUUUCCCGGACCAAGGACGGAACCUGCGCCGAGUCCUAACCACUGGACCGCCAAGAAAUUGCUGGGGAAAUGUUUUUUAAAUACAUGAAGUCAUGCUGUGCUUUAAAAAAUAAAAACUAAAAAUAU